GGUAGACGCUACGGACUUAAAAUCCGUUGGCUUUAUAGACCGUGAGGGUUCAAGUCCCUCUACCCCCA
rnacentral:tRNA from 1 species